AAGUCGUAACAAGGUCUCCGUUGGUGAACCAGCGGAGGGAUCAUUAAAGAGUUGCAAAACUCCUUUAAAAACCUAUCUUUAUAAACUCUUGUCAUUAGUGGCCUCUCUGAGUCGUACUUUAAAAAAUGAGUCAAAACUUUCAACAACGGAUCUCUUGGUUCUG
rnacentral:misc_RNA from 1 species